AGUCGUAACAAGGUAGCCGUAGGGGAACCUGCGGCUGGAUCACCUCCUUUAACGAAGAAAAUUCCCAUUCACUCUUUACUUGCAAAGAGCAAAGAAGAAGGCAGUAAGGGCCUGUAGCUCAGGUGGUUAGAGCGCACGCCUGAUAAGCGUGAGGUCGAAAGUUCAAGUCUUUCCAGGCCCACCAUAAGGUGUGUCUAAAGUUGAAAGAUACUAGAACAACAAGGUAAGACGGAAGAAAGAGGUUGAAAGGCGUGGGGGUGUAGCUCAGUUGGGAGAGCAUCUGCUUUGCACGCAGAGGGUCAUGGGUUCAAAUCCCUUCACCUCCACCAGAAGAAGGAAGGUCUUGUCUGGUAAGUUUCGCAAGAUACUUGUGGAAGUCAUCCAGGAGAGACCUGGGAACAUGAUAAAUGUUCAGGCUCUUUAACAAUUGAAUAGGGAAUGAAAGGAAGUUCUUAAGAGACAA
rnacentral:misc_RNA from 1 species